CUUACACUAGGGUCUAAGUGUCAGAUACAUGCCCAUCUCUAGCAUGGAUAUCUUCAAUUUUUAUACCUUUCUUUGUGUUUGGAAAUUAUGCCCAAGUACAUGCAUCCAUUUGCAGGUGUUUGAUGUGUGUCCAAAAGAGAGUAUGCUAGGAUGCAGUAAACAGCUGGAGUAAUAGAAUAUUGGAAUAGACAACCCUGAAUCAAAUCACUUAAAAGGAAAGGAGUGCCGGAUACCUUGCAAGAGACUCUAAUUUUCACCACUGAAGACUUAUAUUAGAUUUUCAAAAUCAAGAAUUGCAUCAAAUAGCAUUAAUAGAAAAAUAAUAAUUCCAAACAUUAACUAAACAAUACUUCCACGAUCAUAUUAGAG
rnacentral:misc_RNA from 1 species